UACUGCUGAAAUACCCUCAAAGCACUUGAUCCUAUAUGAUCUUAGAAGCUAAGCAAUAUCGGCACUGGUUUGUACUUGGAUGGGUGAUUGCUAGUAAAUGCCAGGUGCUACAGGCU
rnacentral:rRNA from 1 species